GAGAGGAUGCCUUAGAUUAGAGGAUAUUGUUCAGUGGGAUUUGGAGAGGACGCCUUAGAUUAGAGGUAUUGUUCA
ensembl:miRNA MIR8061 microRNA 8061